rnacentral:rRNA from 1 species
AUUGAACGCUGGCGGCAUGCUUUACACAUGCAAGUCGAACGGGCUUAGGGGCUUGCUCCUAAGUUAGUGGCGAACGGGUGAGUAAUGCAUCGGAACGUACCGUGUAGUGGGGGAUAACCCGGCGAAAGUCGGAUUAAUACCGCAUACGAUCUAAGGAUGAAAGCCGGGGAUCGCAAGACAUUGCGCUAUACGAGGGGCCGCGGUUGGAGUAGCUAGUUGGUAGGGUAAAGGCCUGACAAGCCAACGAGCCGUAGAGGGUCUGAGAGGAUGAUCCGCCACACUGAGGCUGGGACACGGGCCAGACUCAUAGGGGAGGCAGCAGUGGGGAAUUUUGGACAAGGGGCGCAAGCCUGAUCCAGAAAUGCCGCGUGCAGGAUGAAGGCCUUCGUGUUGUAAACUGCUUUUGUACGAAGCGAAAAGGCUUCCACUAAUACUGGGGGCUCAUGACGGUACCGUAAGAAUAAGCACCGGCUAACUACGUGCCAGCAGCCGCCGUAAAAC